rnacentral:rRNA from 1 species
CAAAAGCGGAGGAAAAGAAACCAACCGGGAUUGCCUUAGUAACGGCGAGUGAAGCGGCAAAAGCUCAAAUUUGAAAUCUGGUACCUUCGGUGCCCGAGUUGUAAUUUGGAGAGGGCAACUUUGGGGCCGUUCCUUGUCUAUGUUCCUUGGAACAGGACGUCAUAGAGGGUGAGAAUCCCGUGUGGCGAGGAGUGCGGUUCUUUGUAAAGUGCCUUCGAAGAGUCGAGUUGUUUGGGAAUGCAGCUCUAAGUGGGUGGUAAAUUCCAUCUAAAGCUAAAUAUUGGCGAGAGACCGAUAGCGAACAAGUACAGUGAUGGAAAGAUGAAAAGAACUUUGAAAAGAGAGUGAAAAAGUACGUGAAAUUGUUGAAAGGGAAGGGCAUUUGAUCAGACAUGGUGUUUUGUGCCCUCUGCUCCUUGUGGGUAGGGGAAUCUCGCAUUUCACUGGGCCAGCAUCAGUUUUGGUGGCAGGAUAAAUCCAUAGGAAUGUAGCUUGCCUCGGUAAGUAUUAUAGCCUGUGGGAAUACUGCCAGCUGGGACUGAGGACUGCGACGUAAGUCAAGGAUGCUGGCAUAAUGGUUAUAUGCCGCCCGUCUUGAA